UGCAAUCUACCUUUUACAGAGGGAUAGCCCAGAGAAAUUUGGAUUAAUACCUCAUAGUAUUAUGAAAUGGCAUCAUUUUAUAAUUAAAGUCACGACGGUAAAAGAUGAGCAUGCGUCCCAUUAGCUAGUUGGUAAGGUAACGGCUUACCAAGGCUACGAUGGGUAGGGGUCCUGAGAGGGAGAUCC
rnacentral:rRNA from 1 species